rnacentral:sRNA from 1 species
ACCGAAUUGUCAACAAGAGUUGUUGCUGGUCCCCAUACGGGGGCAUGUGCACACUUUGUUUACACAUCCACUCACACCUGUGCACCCUCCGUAGUUCUAUGGCCUGGGUGGGCUCUGUCCUCCUGGCGUGGUUCUACGUCUUUACACACACACUACAACAAAGUCUUAUGGAAUGUAUGUCGCGUUUAACGCAAUGAAAUACAACUUUCAGCAACGGAUCUCUUGGCUCUCGCAUCGAUGAAGAACGCAGCGAAAUGCGAUAAGUAAUGUGAAUUGCAGAAUUCAGUGAAUCAUCGAAUCUUUGAACGCACCUUGCGCCCUUUGGCUAUUCCGAAGGGCAUGCCUGUUUGAGUAUCAUGAACACCUCAACUCUCAUGGCUUGCCAUGAUGAGCUUGGACUUUGGGGGUCUUGUUGGCCUGUGAGCCAGCUCCUCUUAAAUGAAUUAGCUUGCCGGUGUUUGGUGGCAUCACGGGUGUGAUAACUAUCUACGCUUGUGGUUUCCCACCAGGUAACCUUCAGCAAUGGAGGUUCGCCGGAGCUUAUAAAUGUCUCUCCUCGGUGAGGACACAUUUUGACCA